UGAAAGGAGACCUGCCAUUCAGCUUCCAUAGCCAUGCUAGCAGGAGGAUGAGAAUGAAUUGUGGUUACCUUUCCUUUCUGGAGCGGGGUGGUAUCAUAAUUUACUAGUAGUACCUAAAACCCAUAAGGAUCCAAUGUCAGUGUUUAUAUGGUCAAGCAAGUGAACUUGUGUUGUCGUUACUAGUGAAUUUGUUUGUCGGUGGUAUCAUAAUUUCUACUAGUAGUACCUAAAACCCGUAAGGAUCCUUUACCAGCUGGUGGAGUACUGUUUAUAGGUAUAUGAGUUUGUCAGAAACUUUGGACAAAUGGAACAAAAGAAAAUUAGCAAUAUGUUGAUGUGUACUCGAUAUGUGUGGUACAUUUCUAAUGGGUUCUUCGCCUUUGCUCUCUUCUGAAGAAGUGGAGAUGACACAUGAGUUCAGUUUAGUCACAUAGGCGCACUUUGCCGCAUUGUUGAAAUUUGAGCCAUUCAAAUAUUUUUUAAAUUCAAUGAAAUUUGAGCUUUUUAAAUCCAAUGAAAUUUGAGCUAUUCAAAUAAGAGGUCACACGGGAUCCCGUGAGACUUGACGGUGGUCACCCUCUGCCGUGGCUCACUGCUUGAGGGUUCGGCUAGCCUUCAGUUGCACUUUCUUGUUGGCCAACGAUGACAUCGAUCAUCAACCUUCAUACUUUUACGGUUGUGCAUCGGAGGCCAGGGGUGAUCCUCUUUUUCUCAGAGAAAAUCCUCCUACACUUACCAUCAUUGGCAAUUGCUUGCAAGAACCUAAUUGCAAGUCUUAAAACAGUUAAUGUGUGUGUGUUGAUGGUAACACCUUGUGGAUAUUUUUACAGCUGGUGAAGAAGAUGGAACAGUGAAAGGAGAAUGUCAACGCCAAUAAGGGUGAUGCCCUGCUGCGGUAGCUGCAUUUGGUGAACGGUGACCCUCCAUUCAACUUCCAUAGCCUUGCUGGCUGGAGGAGGAGGACUUGAAUCUGGUUGUCUUGUGUGUUUGAUGCAACUGCAACGACAAUUGUGGUGUCGAUAGUAGUUACCUUUUCUUUUCAAAGCGGGGGGAUAUAUUAAUUUACUAGUGGUACCUAAAACCCAUAAGGACCCAAACAUCAGUGUUUAUCUGGUCAAGCAAGUGAACUUGUCUUGUUGUUCCUGUUUAUAGGUGAUGAUGGGUUUGUCAAAAACUUCAAACAAAUGGAACGAAAGAAAAUUAGCAAUCUGUUGAUGUGUACUCCGAAAGUCCCUUCCUACUUCGGAGCUCAUUUGAGCUCGGGAUUAACAAUAAAUUCAACCAAAAUUUAAAAACUUCAAUAAGUCUGAAUUUUUUUGGGUAUAAACUUUGACAAAUGUUUUGGUGCUUGCAAAUUUCAUCCCGAAAUAACAUUCGUGGAAGUCAUGGCAAAAAAGAACAACACUCCAAAAUGCUUUUGAAAAUAGCAUUUCCGGAGCGUUGACUUUGUUUUUUACCAUGACUUCCAAGGAUGAUAUUUUGGGAUAAAAUAUGCAAGCACUGAGUACAUUUGUCAAAGUUUGAACCCAAAAAAAUUCAGAAUUUUUUGAAUUUUUUACUUUUUUUUGAUUUUACUAUUCAUUAGAGAGCAUAUGAGCUCGGGACUAGAUACUCUGCGUCCACUGUACCCGGUGUGGUCCAUUUCCGGUGUAUGUUGGAGUCAUUGCCUUUUCUAUCUUCUGAAGAAGUGUAGAUAACACACGAGUUGAGUUUAGUCACAUAGAUGCACUUUGUCACGUAAGUGAAAUUUGAGCGACUCAAAUAGUUAUCAAAUCUAGUGAAAAUUCAGCUAUUCAAAUCAGUGGUCACACGAAAUCCCGUGAGAGUUGAUAGUAGUUAGUUUUUCUUUUCGGAACGACAUGGUAUAUAGUCAUUUACUAGUGGUAUCUAAAACCCAUAAGGACCCAAAUGUCAGUGUUUAUCUGGUCAAGCAAGUGAACUUGUGUUGUUGUUAUUGUUUAUAUAUAGGUGAUGAUGGGUUUGUCAGAAAUAUCAAACAAACUGAAGGAAAUAUGCCCUAGAGGCAAUAAUAAAGUUGUUAUUUAUAUUUCCUUAUAUCAUGCUAAAUGUUUAUUAUUCAUGCUAGAAUUGGAUUAACCGGAAACUUAGUACAUGUGUGAAUACAUAGACAAAACAACGUGUCCCUAGUAUGCCUCUACUUGACUAGCUCGUUAAUCGAAGAUGGUUAUUUUUCCUGACCAGAGACAUGUGUUGUCAUUUGAUGAAUGUGAUCACAUCAUUAGAGAAUGAUGUGAUGGACAAGACUCAUCCGUUAGCUUAGCAUAAUGAUCAAUAGGUUUUAUUGCUAUUGCUUUCUUCAUGACUUAUACAUGUUCCUCUGACUAUGAGUUUAUGCAACUCUCGAAUACCGAAGGAACACCUUGUGUGCUAUCAAACGUCACAACGUAACUGGGUGAUUAUAAAGAUGCUCUACAUGUGUCUCCGAAGGUGUUUGUUGGGUUAGCAUAGACCGAGAUUAGGAUUUGUCACUCCGUGUACCGGAGAGAUAUCUCUGGUCCCUCUCGGUAAUGCUCAUCACUAUAAGCCUUGCAAGCAAUGUGACUAAUGAGUUAGUUGUGGGAUGAAGCAUUACGAAACGAGUAAAGAUACUUGCCGGUAACGAGAUUGAACUAGGUAUGAAGAUACCGAUGAUCGAAUCUCGGGCAAGUAACAUACCGAUGACAAAGGGAACAACGUAUGUUGUUGUGCGGUUUGACCGAUAAAGAUCUUCGUAGAAUAUGUAGGGGCCAAUAUGAGCAUCUAGGUUCCACUAUUGAUUAUUGAUCGGAGAUGUGUCUCGAUCAAGUAUACAUAGUUCUUGAACCUGUAGGGUCCGCACGCUUAACGUUUGAUGAUGAUUUGUAUUAUGAGUUAUGUGAUUUGACUACCGAAGUUUGUUCGGAGUCCCAGAUGAGGUCACAGACAUGACGAGGAGUACCAAAAUGGUAGAGAAAUAAAUAUUGAUAUAUUGGACGAUGUUAUUUGGACACCGGAAGAGUUCCGAGAGGUACGGGUAAAAACAGAGUGCCGGAGGGGUUACCGGAACCCCCGGGGAAGCAAUGGGCCAACAUGGGCCAUAGGGGAGAGAGAGAGAGGACAUCCCACAAGUGGGUGGCGCGCGCCGCCCCAUGGGGAAUCCGAAUACGACUAGGGGAGGGGGCACGGCCCCCCUUUCCCUGUUCAUCUCCCUCUCCCUUCCUUCUUCCCCCCUUCCACCAAUGGGAAUUCUAAGUCCUAGUAGGACUCCUCCCUCUUGGCCCGCCCUACAGGGCCGGCCGGCCUCUCCCUCUCCUCCUUUAUAUACGGGGGCAGGGGGCACCCCAAAGCACAACAGACAAUCUCUUAGCCGUGUGCGGUGCCCCCUUCCAUAGUUUAACACCUCGGCCAUAUCAUCGUAGUGCUUAGGCGAAGCCCUGCGCCGGUAACUUCAUCAUCACCGUCGCCACAUCAUCGUACUGAUGGAACUAUCCCUCGUCCUCAACUGGAUCAAGAGCACGAGGGACGUCAUCGUGCUGAACGUGUGCUGAACACGGAUGUGCCGUAUGUUCGGUACUUGGAUCGGUUGGAUCAUGAAGACAUUCAACUACAUCAACCGCGUUACUAAACGCUUCCACUUUCGGUCGACGAGGGUACAUGGACACACUCUCCGUCUCGUGCUAUGCAUCUCCUAGAUAGAUCUUGCGUGAUCGUAGGAAUUCUUUUGAAUUACUACAUUCCCCAACAGUGGUAUCAGAACCAGGUCUAUGCGUAGAUGAUAUGCACAAGUAGAACACAGAGAGCUGUGGGCGAUAAUAGUCAUACUGCUUACCACCAACGUCUUACUUUGAUUCGGCGGUAUUGUUGGAUGAAGCGGCGUGGACCGACAUUACAUGACCGCAUUCAUGAGACUGGUUCUACCGACGUGCUUUGAACAUAGGUGGCUGGCGGUUGUCUGUUUCUCCAACUUUAGUUGAAUCGAUUUUGACUACGGUCGGUCCUUGUUGAAUGUUAAAAUAGCACACUUGACGAAAAAUCGUUGUGGUUUUGAUGUGUAGGUACAAACGGUUCUUGCUAGAAGCUCGUAGUAGCCACAUGAAACUUGCAAAACAAAGUAGAGGACGUCUAACUUGUUUUUGCACGGCUUGUUGUGAUGUGAUAUGGUCAAGACAUGAUGUGAUAUAGAUUGUUGUAUGAGAUGAUCAUGUUUUGUAACAAAGUUAUCGGCAAUUGGCAGGAGCCAUAUGGUUGUCGCUUUAUUGUAUGAAAUGCAAUCGCCAUGUAAUUGCUUUACUUUAUCACUAAGCGGUAGCAAUAGUCGUAGUAACAAUAAUUGGCGAGACAACAACGAUGCUACGAUGGAGAUCAAGGUGUCAAGCCGGUGACGAUGGAGAUCAUGAUGAUGCUUCGGUGACGGAGAUCAUGAGCACAAGAUGAUGGUGUCCAUAUCAUGUCACAUAUUUUGAUUGCAUGUGAUGUUUAUCUUUUAUGCAUCUUACUUUGCUUAGUACGGCGGUAGCAUUAUAAGAUGAUCCCUUACUAAAUUUCAAUGUAUAAGUGUUCUCCUUGAGUAUGCACCGUUGCUACAGUUCAUCGUGCCGAGACACCACGUGAUGAUCGGGUGUGAUAAGCCCUACGUUCAGAUACAACGGGUGCAAGCCAGUUUUGCACGUGCAGAAUUCUCGGCUUAAACUUGACGACCCUAGCAUAUGCAGAUAUGGCCUCGGAACACUGAGACCGAAAGGUCGAACAUGAAUCAUAUAGUAGAUAUGAUCAACAUAGAUAUGUUCACCAUUGAAAACUACUCCAUCUCACGUGAUGAUCGGACAUGGUUUAGUUGAUAUGGAUCACAUGAUCAUUUAGAUGACUAGAGGGAUGUCUAUCUAAGUGGGAGUUCUUUAGUAAUAUGAUUAAUUGAACUUUAAUUUAUUAUAAACUUAGUCCUGAUAGCAUUCGUAACUUAUGUUGUAGAUCAAUAGCUCGCGUUGUAGCUUCCCUGUGCUUUUUGAUAUGUUCCUAGAGAAAACUAAGUUGAAAGAUGAUAGUAGCAACGAUGCAGACUGGGUCCGUGAUAUGAGGUUUAUCCUCAUUGCUCAUAGAAGAAUUAUGUCCUUGAUGCACCGCUAGGUGACAGACCUAUUGCAGGAGCAGAUGCAGACGUUAUGAACUUUUGGCUAGCUCAAUAUGAUGACUACUUGAUAGUUUAGUACACCAUGCUUUACGGCUUAGAACUGGGACUUCAAAAAUGUUUUGAAAUGCCACGGAGCAUAUGAGAUGUUCCAAGAGCUGAAAUUGGUAUUUCAGACUCAUGCCCGUGUCGAGAGGUAUGAGACCUCUAACAAAUACUUCGCCUAAGCGGAUGGAGGAGAAUAACUCAGCUAGUGAGCAUGUGCUCAGAAUGUCUGGGUACUACAAUCGCUUGAAUCAAGUGGGAGUUAAUCUUCCAGAUAAGAUAGUGACUGACAGAGUUCUCUAGUCACCAUCACCAAGUUACUAGAACUUCGUGAUGAAUUAUAAUAUGCAAGGGAUGAAAAGAGCGAUUCUCGAGCUCUUCGUGAUGCUAAAAUCAACAAAGGCAAAAAUCAAGAAAAAUCAUCAAGUGUUGAUGAUUAAACAAGAUCACUAGUUUCAAGAAAAGGGCAAAGGGAAGGAAAGAGAACUUCAAGAAGAAUGGCAAGCAAGUUUUCACUCCCGUGAAGAAGCCCAAAGUUGGACCGAAGCCUGAAACUAAGUGCUUCUACUGCAAAGGAAAUGAUCACUGGAAGCGGAGUUACCCCAAAUAUUUGGUGGAUAAGAAGGAUGGCAAAGUGAACAAAGGUAUAUUUGAUAUACAUGUUAUUGAUGUGUACCUUACUAGUGAUCGUAGUAACCCCUGGUCAUUUGAUACUUGUUCAGUUGCUAAGAUUAGUAACUCGAAACAGGAGUUGCAGAAUAAAUAGAGACUAGUUGAGGGUGAAGUGACGAUGUAUGUUGGAAGUGUUUCCAAGAUUGAUAUGAUCAUCAUCGUACACCACAUAUACUUUUGGAAUUAGAGUUGAACCUAAAUAAAUGUUAUUUGGUGUUUGCGUUAAAGCAUGAAUAUGAUUAGAUCAUGUUUAUUGCAAUAUGAUUAUUCAUUUAAGACAGAGAAUAAUUGUUAUACUAUUUACAUGAAUAAAACCUUCUAUGGUCAUACACCCAAUGUUGAUGGUUUAUUGAAUCUCGGUCGUAGUGAUACAGAUAUUCAUAAUAUUGAUGCCAAAAGAUGCAAAGUUGAUAAUGAAAGAGCAACAUACUUGUGGCACUGCCGUUUAGGUCAUAUUGGUGUAAAGCGCAUGAAGAUACUCCAUGCUGAUGGGCUUUUGGAAUCACUUGAUUAUGAAUCAUUUGAUACUUGCGAACCAUGCCUUAUGGGCAAGAUGACUAAAACUCCAUUCUACGGAACAAUGGAACAAGAUAAUGACUUAUUGGAAAUAAUACAUACCGAUGCAUGUGGUCCGAUGAGUGUUGAGGCUCAUGGCAGGUAUCAUUAUUUUCUGACAUUCACAGAUGGUUUGAGCAGAUAUGGGUAUAUCUACUUAAUGGAAAAAAAGUUUGAAACAUUUGAAAAGUUCAAAGAAUUUCAGAGUGAAGUGGAGAACCAUUGUAACAAGAAAAUAAAGUUUCUAUGAUCUGGUCGUGGAGGUGAAUAUUUGAGUUACGAGUUUGACCUUCAGUUAAAACAAUGUGGAAUAGUUUCACAGCUCACGCCACUUAGAACACCACAGCGUAAUGGUGUGUCCGAACAUCGUAAUCGCACUUUAUUAGAUAUGGUGUGAUCUAUGAUGCCUCUUACCGAUUUGCCACUAUCGUUUUGGGAUUAUGCAUUAGAGACAGCUGCAUUCACGUUAAACAGGGCACCGUGAAAAUCCGUUGAGACGACACCAUAUGAAAUGUGGUUUGGCAACAAACCUAAGCUGUCGUUUCUUAAAGUUUGGGGCUGCGAUGCUUAUGUGAAAAAGCUUCAACCUGAUAAGCUCGAACCCAAAUUAGAGAAAUGCGUCUCCAUAGGAUACCCAAAAGAAAAUGUUGGGUACACCUUCUAUCACAGAUCCGAAAGCAAGAUAUUCGUUACUAAGAAUGGAUCCUUUCUAGAGAAGGAGUUUCUCUCGAAAGAAGUGAGUGGGAGAAAAGUAGAACUUGAUAAGGUAAUUAUACCUUCUCCCGAAUUGGAAAGUACUCCAUCACAGAAAUCAGUUCCAGUGAUUCUUACACCAAUUAGUGAGGAAGCUAAUGAUGAUGAUCAUGAAACUUCAGAUCAAGUUGCUACAGAACCUCGUAGGUGAACCAGAGUAUGGUCCGCACCAGAGUGGUAUGGUAAUCCUAUUCUGGAAGUCAUGUUACUAGACCAUGAUGAACCUAUGAACUAUGAGGAAGCGAUGAUGAGCCCAGAUUCCGCGAAAUGGCUUGAGGCCAUGAAAUCUGAGAUGGGAUCCAUGUAUGAGAACAAAGUGUGGACUUUGGUGGACUUGCCCGAUGAUCGGCAAGCCAUAGAAAAUAAAUGGAUCUUCAAGAGGAAGACGGACACUGAUAGUAGUGUUACUAUCCAUUGUUGAGGAAAUUGGUAAGUGGUAGCUACUCGGUUGGCUUGCGAGUAGGGGAUUAAUAGGAUAAUCGGCCAUUUAAUCAAUUAAUCGGACGAUUUAUUGGUUUAUUGGCUACUCGGUGACCCUACGAGUUGGGGUUAAUCGGCAUGUUAACUGGUUAAUCGGACGAAUUCUUGAACAGGGUUACUAUCUACAAAGCUCGACUUGUCGCAAAAGGUUUUCGACAAGUUCAAGGUGUUGACUACAAUGAGAUUUUCUCAACUGUAGCGAUGCUUAAAUCCGUCCGAAUCAUGUUAGCAAUUGCCAUAUAUUAUGAAAUCUAGCAAAUGGAUGUCAAAACUGCAUUCCUUAAAUGGAUAUUUCUUCAAGAAGUGUUGUAUAUGAUGCAACCUGAAGGUUUUGUCGAACCUAAAGGUACUAAAAAGGUGUGCAAACUCUAGCAAUCCAUCUAUGGACUAUUGCAAGCAUCUCGGAGUUGGAAUAUACUCUUUGAUGAGUUGAUCAAAGCAUAUAGUUUUAUACAGACUUGCGGUGAAGCCUGUAUUUACAAGAAAGUGAGUGGGAGCACUACACCCUUUCUGAUAAGUAUAUGUGAAUGACAUAUUGUUGAUCGGAAAUGAUGUUGAAUUUUCUGGAAAGUAUAAAGGAGAGUUUGAAAGGAGAUUUUCAAAGAAAGACCUCGGUGAAGCUUCUUACAUAUUGGGUAUCAAGAUCUAUAGAGAUAGAUCAAGACGCUUGAUAAGAUUUUUCAAUGAGUACAUACCUUGACAAGAUUUUAAAAGAGUUCAAAAUAGAUCAGUCAAAGAAGGAGUCCUCGCCGAUAUUACAAGGUGUAAAGUUGAGUAAUACACAAAGCCCGACCACGGCAGAAGAUAAAAAGAGAAUGAAAGUCAUUCCCUAUGCCUCAGUCAUAGGUUCUAUAAAGUAUGCCAUGUUAUGUACCAUACCAGUUGUGUGCCUUGCUAUGAGUUUGGCAAGGGGGGUACCAUAGUGAUCCAGGAGUGGAUCACUGUAUAGCGAUCAAAGUUAUCCUUAGUUACGUAAGAGGACUAAGGAAGUAUUUCUCGGUUAUGGAGGUGAUAAAGAGUUCAUCAUAAAGAGUUACAUUGAUGUAAGCUUUACACCAAUCCAGAUGACUCUGAGUCUCAAUCUGGAUACAUAUUGAAAGUGGGAGCAAUUAGCUAGAGUAGCUCCAUGCAGAGCAUUGUAAACAUAGAAUAUUUGCAAAAUACAUAUGUCUCUAAAUUUAGCAGACCCGUUGACUAAACUUCUCUCACAAGCAAAACAUCAUCACACCUUAGUACUCUUUGGGUGUUAAUCACAUAGCGAUGUGAAAUAGAUUAUUGACUCUAGUAAACCCAUUGCUUGUUGGUCACAUGGCGAUGUGAACUAUGGGUGUUAAUCACAUAUAGAUGUGCACUAUUAGUGUUAAAUCACAUGGCGAUGUGAACUAGAUUAUUGCCUCUAGUGCAAGUGGGAGACUGAAGGAAAUAUGCCCUAGAGGCAAUAAUAAAGUUGUUAUUUAUAUUUCCAUAUAUCAUGGUAAAUGUUUAUUAUUCAUGCUAGAAUUGUAUUAACCGGAAACUUAGUACAUGUGUGAAUACAUAGACAAAACAAAGUGUCCCUAGUAUGCCACUACUUGACUAGCUCGUUAAUCAAAGAUGGUUAUGUUUCCUGACCAUAGACAUGUGUUGUCAUUUGAUGAACGGGAUCACAUCAUUAGAGAAUGAUGUGAUGGACAAGACCCGUCCGUUAGCUUAGCAUAAUGAUCAAUAAGUUCUGUUGCUAAUGCUUUCCUCAUGAUUUAUACAUGUUCCUCUGACUAUGAUAUUAUGCAACUCCCGAAUACCGGAGGAACACCUUGUGUGCUAUCAAACGUCACAACGUAACUGAGUGAUUAUAAAGAUGCUCUAUAGGUGUCUCCGAAGGUGUUUGUUGGGUUGACAUAGAUCGAGAUUAGGAUUUGUCACUCCGCGUAUCAGAGAGGUAUCUCUGGGCCCUCUCGAUAAUGCUCAUCACUAUUAGCCUUGCAAGCAAUGUGACUAAUGAGUUAGUUGCGCGAUGAAGCAUUGCGAAACGAGUAAAGAGACUUGUCGGUAAUGAGAUUGAACUAGGUAUGAAGAUACCGACGAUCGAAUCUCGGGAAAGUAACAUACCGAUGACAAACGGAACAACGUGUAUUGUUGUGCGGUUUGAUCGAUAAAGAUCUUCAUAGAAUAUGUAGGAGCCAAUAUGAGCAUCCAGGUUCCACUAUUGGUUAUUGAUCGGAGAUGUGUCUCGAUCAUGUCGACAUAGUUCUCGAACACGUAGGGUCCGCACGCUUAACAUUCGAUGAUGAUUAGUAUUAUGAGUUAUGUGAUUUGAUGACCGAAGUUUGUUUGGAGUCCCGGAUGAGAUCACGGACAUGACGAGGAGUCUCGAAAUGGUCGAGACAUAAAUAAUGAUAUAUUGGACGAUGUUAUUCGGACACCGAAAGAGUUUCGACAGGUACCGGGUAAAAACGGAGUGCCGGAGGGGUUACCAGAACCCCCCGGGGAAGCAAUGGGCCAACAUGCGCCAUAGUGCAGAGAGGGGACAACCCACAAGGGGGUGGUGUGCCCCCCCCAUGGGGAGUCCGAAUAGGACUAGGGGAGGGGGCGCGACCCCCCUUUCCCUAUCCCUCUCCCUUCCUUCUUCCCCCUUCCACCAAGGGGAAUCCUACUAGGGCUUGGAGUCCUAGUAGGACUCCUCCCUAUUGGCUCGCCCUACAGGGCCGGCCGGCCUCCCCCUAUCCUCCUUUAUAUACGGGGGAAGGGGGCACCCCAAAGCACAACAGACAAUCUCUUAGCUAUGUGCGGUGCCCCCUCCCCAGUUUAACACCUCGAUCAUAACAUCAUAGUGCUUAGGCCAAGCCCUGCGCCGGUAACUUCAUCAUCACCGUCGCCACGCCGUCGUGCUAACGAAACUCUCCCUCGUCCUCAAUUGGAUCGAGAGCACGAGGGACGUUAUCAUGCUGAACGUGUGUUGAACACGGAGGUGCUGUACAUUCGGUACUUGGAUCGGUUGGAUCGUGAAGACGUUCGACUACAUCAACUGCGUUACUAAACGCUUCCGCUUUCGGUCUAUGAGGGUACGUGGACACACUCUCCAUAUGUUGCUAUGCAUCUCCUAGAUAGAUCUUGCGUGAUCGUAGGAAUUUUUUUGAAUUACUACAUUCCCCUACACAAACAAAACAAAGUUUGCAAUAUGUUGAUCUGCACUCGCGCUAUAAUACGAUGCGAUGCAAUGUGUGUGGUCUAUUUCGGAGAUGAGUGUGAGAGUUUUUGUUUUUCCUCUCUUCUCAAGAAGUGGAUAUGACACAUGAGUUGAAUUUAGUCAUGUAGGCGCAAUUUGUCGGUGAAAUUGCGGCUAUUCAAAUAGUUUUUAAAUCCAGUGAAAUUUGAGCUAUUCAAGUCACUGGUCACACGGGAUUCCAUGAGACUUGACGAUGGUCAUCCAUUGCAAUGCUUGGGUAGUCAAUCCCUUUCCUCUCCAUCGCGGCUCACUGCUUGAGGGUCCGACUGACCUUUAGUUGUGCUCCCCGGUUGGCCAACCAUGACGGCGAUCAUCAACCCUCAUACUCUUAUGGUUGUGUGCAUCAGAGGCCAAGAGUGAUCCUCCUUUUCUAAGAAAAAAAAUCCUCCUGCACUCACCAUCACUUGACAAUUGCUUGCAACAACCCAAUUGCUUGUGUUGUUGUUAAAGUUUAUAGGUGAUGAUGGGUUUGUCAGACACUUCAAUUAAAUGGAAAAACAAAAUUAGCAAUAUGUUGAUGUGUACUCGCGCUUUAAUAUGAUGGGAUGCUAUGCGUGUGUUUCAUUUUGGAAGUGUUUGUGGGAGUCUUCGCCUUUGCUCUCUUCUGAAGAAGUCUAGAUGACACACGAAUUGAGUUUAGUCACAUACUCGCACUUUCUCGCGUUUGUGAAAUUUGAGUUAGUCAAAUAGUUUUUAAAUCCAGCGAAGUUUGAGCUAUUCAAAUAAGUGGUCACACGGGGCCCCGUGAGACUGACGGUAGUCACCCAUCACAAUGCUUGGGCAAUCGAUUCGCUUUCUCCUCUACCGCGGCUCACUGGUUGUGGGUUCGGCUGGCCUUCAGGCGCUCCCUGGUUGGCUAAACAUGACAGCGAUCAUCAACCCGCAUACUCAUAUGACUAUGUGCAUUGGAGGACAGGGGUGAUCAUCCAUUUCUAAGAAAAAAAAACCUCCUACACUUACCAUCAUUUGGAAAUUGCUUGCAACAACCUAUUUGAAAAAUCUACAAACAAUAAAUGUGUGUGUGCUGAUGGUAACAUCUUGUGGCCUUGAUAUAUUUUUACAUCUGGUGGAGAAGAUGAUGGAAUAGUCCAAGGAUAAUGUCAACGCCAAGAAGCGUGGCACCAUGUCAGGGCACUGCAGCAACUGCAUCUAGUGACUGGUGAUCCACCUUUAAACUUCCAUAGUUGUACUGGCAGGAGGACGAGGAGGACUUUCAUUCUGGACAUUUUGUGUGUUUGAUGCGACCGCAACGACAACUGCAGUUUUGAUAGUAGUUACCAUUUCUCUUCUGAGCAGGAUGGUAUAGUAAUUUACUAGUAGUGCGUAAAACCCACAAGGACCCAAAUGUCAAUGUUUAUCUGGUCAAGCAAGUGAACUUGAGUUGUUGUUAUUGUUUACAGGUGAUGAUGGGUUUGUCAGAAACAUCAGACAAACGGAAUAAAAGAAAAUUAGUAAUAUCUUGAUAUGUACUCGCAUUUUAAUAUGAUGCGAUGCUAUGUGUGUGGUCCAUUUCGGAUGUAUGUGUGGGAGUCUUCACCUUUGCUCUCUUCUCAAGAAGUGGAGAUGACACUCGAGUUUAUUUUAGUCACGUAGGUGCACUUUGCCGCAUCAGUGAAAUUUGAGCUAUCAAAUAGUUUUUAAAUCAUGUGAAAUUUGAGGUAUUCAAAUCAGUGGUUAAAUAGGAUCCCAUGAGACUAGACGAUGGUCACCCAUUGCAAUGCUUGGGUAGUCGAUCCUCUUUCCUCUCCGUCGCGGCUUGCUACUUGAGGGUCCGGCUAGCCUUUAGUUGGGCUCCCUCAUGAGCCAACCAUGACUGCAAGCAUCAACCUCGUACUCUUAUGGUUGUGUGUAUAGGAGGCCAGGGUGAUCCUCCUUUUUUUGUUAAAAGCCCUUUUACACCUACCAUCAUUUGCCAGUUACUUGCAAUAACCUAAUUGCCAAGUCUUAAAAUCAUUAAUGUGAGUGUGCUGAUGGUAACACCAUGUGGUUGUGAUUUUAUUACAAUGAGGGGACAACACGAUGGAAUAUUCCAUGGUAAAAUUCAAUGCACACAAUUUUCAUGGUAACACCCUGUGGUCGUGAUUUUCUAAUCCUCCAAUUUUCUAUUGAUUUUCCUCUCAUGGAAGGUACAUAUAUAUGGUUUACAAGUUUUUUGAUCUCACAUGGAUCUUUCCUACUAACAUCGUCCCAGGAGGCUAUAGGUGAUGGUAUAAAAAGAAGAUUCUCAUCCACAUAGCCCAACACCGAAGGUAAUUAGUCUAUGCACACAGUUACUUCAUCUGCAUGCUUUAUUCACAUGUCUUUGGCAACUAUCUGUGACAUUAAAUUAAUUCCUAGUUUACGUUUGUGUGUCCUAUUUUACAUAGAUUCAAUUGCUAUUUCCUUGAUACAACCCAAAUUUUUUUAUUUGCUCCUGAUUUUGUGACUACACAUGACAACUUUUGUUGUGCACAUAUGGAUUUUGUGUUAUUACCUAUGAGACACAUUUCACUUUUUUCGUGUUAAUUUUUUGCUAUGGAACACAAUGUCAUUCUCUAUAUAUGCAUGCCUACCAACUUAUUCCUGAUUGUUUUGGUCACAGAUAUAUUUCGACAUUUUUGUAGUGUCAUUAGACGGUAUUUUUUUACAUUCUCCCAUAUGUGCAUGCUAUAAAUUUAUCUCAUGACACUCCUUUGCAAAGGGGUGGCGAUUUUUUCUCUCUUGAGGUGUGGAUACACAUUUCUUGAGUGAAAACUUUGUUGUUCAUAAAUGGAUUUACAUAUUUCUUUGGCGUGUGGCAAGUUUGCUUUACUUAACUCUAUAGGGCCAAGCUCCACAGCCAAACUUUUCUUUCACGCCCCAUGAUUUUGCUGAUUUUUCACGCACACCCUCUCGACUUUUGCAUUUUAUUUUUCUUGCAGCUACUCCAUGUUAACAACUUAGACAUUGGACAUCAAUGACUUGAAAUAAAUAUAUCAUGUGAACCUUUCGUUGAUAGUAGUUACCAUUUCUUUUCGGAGCGGGAUGGUAUAGUAAUUUAUUAUUUGUACCUAAAACCCCAAAUGUUGGUAUUUAUCUGGUCAAGCAAGUGAGCUUGAGUUGUUUUUAUUGUAUAUAGGUGAUGAUGGGUUUAUUAGAAACUUCAGACAAACGAAAUAAAUGAAAAUUAGUAAUAUGUUGAUGUGUACUCGUGUUUUAAAUUGAUGCGAUGAUAUGUGUGUGGUCCAUUAUGAAGUGUGUGUGUGUGUGUGGGGGAUAUUCACCUUUGCUCUCUUCUGAAGAGGUGCAGAUGACACUCGAGUUGAGUUUAGUCACAUAGCCGCACUUUGCCGCACUGGUGAAAUUUGAGCUAUCAAAUAGUUUUAAAUCUAGUGAAAUUUGAGGUAUUCAAAUGAGUGGUUAUGCGGGAUCCCGUGAGACUAGACGAUGGUCACCCAUUGCAAUGCUUGGGUAGUCGAUCCCCUUUCCCCUCCAUUGCGGCUCGCUGCUUGAGGGUCCCGCUAGCCUUAAGUGGGGCUCCUUGCUUUCCCAACCAUGACCGCGAUCAUCAACCCUCGUACUCUUAUGGCUGUGUAUCAAAGGCCAGGGUGAUCCUCCUUUUCUCAGAAAAAACCCUUCUACAAUUACCAUCAUUUGCCAAUUACUUGCAACAACCUAAUUGCCAAGUCUUAGAACAGUUAAUGUGAUUGUGCUAAUGGUAACACCCUGUGGUCGUGAGUUUAUUACAGCUGGGGGACAACAUGAUGGAGUAUUCCACGGUAAAAGUCAAUGCACACAAUUUACAAGGUAACACCAUGUGGUCAUGAUUUUCUAAUCCUCCAAUUUUAUAUUGAUUUUCCUCUCAUAGAAGGGACAUAUAUAUGGCUUACAAGUUUUUUGAUCUCACAUGAAUAUUUCCUACUAACAUCGUCGGAGGGGGGCAAUAGGUGAUGGUAAACAAAGAAGGUAUAUUCUCAUCCACAUAGCCCAACGCCAAAGGUAAGUAGUUGAAGCACACAAUUACUUCAUCCGCAUGCUUUAUUCACAUGUCUUUGGUAACUAUUUGUGACACUAAAUUAAUUCCUAGUUCACUUAUGUGUAUCCUAUUUUACAUAGAUUCCAUGGCAAUAUCCUUGGUACACCCCAACAAUUUUUAUUUGCCCCUGAUUUUGUGACUACACAACAUAUAUGUCAACUUUUUUAUCCACAUAUAUAUGGAUUUAGUGUUACCUGUGAGUCAUGUUUAACUUUUUUUGUGCUAAAUUUUUGCUAUGAAACACAAUGUCAUUCUCUACAUAUGCAUGCAUAGCAACUUAUUCCUGAUUUUUUUGGUCACGCAAUAUCUUUCAAAAUAGUGUCCUUAUAUGGUAUUUCUUUUUACAUUCUCCCAUCUAUGCAUAUUGUAAACUUAACUCGUGGCAACCCUUUUCAAAGGGGUCGCACUUUUUUCUCUCUUGAGGUGUGGAUACACAUUUCUUGAAUGACAACUUUGUUGUUCAUAAUGGAUUUACAUAUCUCUUUCGCGUGUGGCAUGUUUGUUUACUUAACACUAUAGGGAAAAGCUCCACAGCCAAACUUUUUUUCACGGCCCAUGAUUUUGCUGAUUUUUCACACACGCCCUCUCCACUUUUGCAUUUCUUUGUCAUUUGCAGCUACUUCAUGGUAACAACUUAGACAUUGGACAUCAAUGGCUUGAAAUAAAUAUAUCCUGUGAACCUUUCCUUCAUAGUAGAUACCAUUUCUUUUCGGAGCGGGAUGGUAUAGUAAUUUUAGUACCUAAAACCCGUAAGGAACCAAAUGUCAGUGUUUAUCUAGUCAAGUAAGUGAAUUUGAGUUGUUGUUAUUGUUUAUAGGUGAUGAUAGGUUUGUCAGAAACUGCAGACAAAUGGAAUAAAAUAAAAUUAGUAAUAUGUUGAUGUGUACUCGCAUUUUAAUAUGAUGUGAUGGUAUGUGUUUGGUCCAUUUCGGAUGUGUGUGGGAGUCUUCACCUUUGCUCUCUUCUGAAGAAGUGGAGAUGGCACUUGAGUUGAGUUUAGUCACGUAGGCGCACUUUGUCGCACCGGUGAAAGUUGAGCUAUCAAAUAGUUUUGAAAUCUAGUGAAAUUUUGAGGUUUUCAAAUCAGUUGUUAUGGGGGAUCCCGUGAGACUAGAUGAUGGUCACCCAUCGCAAUGCUUGGGUAGUCGAUCCCCUGUCCCCUCCAUCGCGGCUCGCUGCUUGAGGGUCCGGUUUUCCUUCAAUUGGGCUCCUUGGUUAGCCAACCAUGACUGUGAUCAUCAAUAGUCGUACUCUUAUGACUAUAUGUAUCGGAGGCCAGGGUGAUCCUCCUUUUCUCAGAGCAAACCCUUCUACACUUACCAUCAUUUGCCAAUUAGUUGCAACAACCUAAUUCCCAUGUCUUAAAACAAUUAAUGUGAGUGUGCAUAUGCUAAAACCAUGUGGUCGUGAUUUUAUUACAGCCUGGGGACAAGAUGAUGGAAUAUUAAAUGGUAAAAGUCAAUGCCAAGAACGAUGGUGCCCUCUCGCGGCAUUGCAGGAGCUGCAUCUGGUUAAGGAUGACCCGCCAUUCAGCUUUUAUAACCGUGCCGGAAGGACGAUCAGCAGGACUAACAUUCUGGUCAUUUUUUGUGUUUGAUGCAACUGCACUAACAGUUCUCGUGUCGAUAGUAGUUACCUUUUCUUUUCGGAGUGGGAUUGUAUACUAAUUUACUAAUAGUACCUAAAACUUGUAAGGAGACGCUGGAGCAGUUCCUUGUCAAGGUCGGCGUGGUCCGAGGAUCUAGCACCGGCGGCCAGGCACCUGUGCCAGUCGGCUUAGUCCAUGGACAGAUGAACCCCGCGCAGCAGGAGCACCAGCUUGGCCGAAUGAUGUACCCGAUGGCACUAGCCAACAUCAUGUUCCAGGUGAUGGGCGACGACAUGGGGUUUGUCCCCAACGGGUACGUAGUGAUUUUCGUGGUGCCGCCAUCACCACCUCGUCAAGGCAGUGUGGGUAUUGUGAGCCACGGGUUGUCGGACGGGAGGAGCGCCAUGACUAAAGCUGACAUGAUGAACUACAUGGGCGACAGAGCGAUGAUGGAGAACGGCGGCGCCCGGAAACACGGUGCCCCGGAUGAUCAGUCCUGCAAGAGGAGUAUCGAGCGUUGCCACCGCCGCAUGAUCAAGAACCGCGAGUCAGCCACACGAUCGUGUGCCAGGAAGCAGGUACUUACCUUGCUGCCAAAAUUGUUGGUUUUUAUGCAAUGCCAUUUCUGCAACGGUGGUAACAAUGUUGGUGACACUUGCAGUCUCUGUCUUUCUCAAUCCUACAGGCUUAUACCGUGGAGCUUGAAGCUGAACUGAACCACCUCAAGGAGGAGAAUGCACGUCUGAAAGCUGAGGAGGUACGGAGCUGCAGACCAGUGAAAACCAUGAGAAAAUUCAGUUUUCAUGUUCUUUUGAGUUCUUACCGUUACUAAACUGUUUCAUUGUUUUGUUGCAGAAGACAAUUCUGCUGACCAAGAAAAAAAAUGGUAUGUACAUUUUCCCACCAUCACCUGGAACACUCGCUACCACUUGCCAAUUGCUUCUACCAAUCUAAUUUGUAAGUCUUAAAGCAGUUAAUGUGUGUGUGCUGAUGAAAACACCUUGUGGCCAUGAUCUUUUUUCUUACAGCUGGUGGAGAAGAUGAUGGAGCAGCCCAAGGAGAACGUGAACGCCAAGAAGGAUGGCGCCUUGUUGCGGCCCUACGGCAGCUGCAUCUGGUGAAAGGUGACCUGCCAUUCAACUUCCAUAGCCGUGCUGGCAAGAGGAUGAGAAUGAAUUGUGGUUACCUUUCCUUUCUGGAGCGGGUGGUAUCAUAAUUUACUAGAAGUACCUAAAACCCGUAAGGAUCCAAUGUCAGUGUUUAUCUGGUCAAGCAAGUGAACUUGUGUUGUUGUUACUAGUAAAUGUGUUUGUCAGUGGUAUCAUAAUUUCUACUAGUAGUACCUAAAACCCGUAAGGAUCCUUUACCAGCUAGUGGAGUACUGUUUAUAUGUAUAUGGGUUUGUCAGAAACUUCGGACAAAUGAAAGCUGAGGUGGUACGGAGCAGCUGACCAGUGAAAAUCAUGAGAAAAUUCAGUUUUCAUAUUCUUUUUCAGUUCUUACCAUUACUAAACGGUUUCAUUGUUUUGUUUGCAGAAGAAAAU
rnacentral:lncRNA from 1 species